rnacentral:rRNA from 1 species
AUGAAGGCUAUUGAUCUUGUUCACUCUCUCAGGACCGAUCAUUGGAAUCUUCUAAACUCUGCUCAUAUUGUGCUCUUGCCAAAGAAGGAUGCCCUCGGCAGCCCUCUUGACUACAGGCCGAUUAGUUUGAUGCACAGUAUAGCCAAGAUCCUCUGCAAGUUGCUUGCCAACAGGCUGUCCUGGAGCUCGAUUCCCUUAUCUCUCUUUCCCAGAGCACCUUCAUUAAGAAGAGAUGUAUUCAGGACAACUUCCUUUAUGUGCACAAUGUCAUCAAAGAGGCUCACACUAAGAAGAAGCCAUUAA